CCCGUGGUCCGUGAGGAAGAAGAGAUCACGCCUGUUUUGCUUACUCUUGAUUCCCAGCGACUAGCCCGGUUACUGAUAACCUCUGUUAGAGGGAGAAAGGAAUGCACCCAAUCCCUGGUGAAGCCCUGACCGUUUUCCUUUCUAGUGUCCCUCGUACUCCUCCCUGCCAUCUGUGUCGCCCUUGCUCCGCGUCUACCGUUUAUGAGUUUACACCUGGGUUACGGUGACUGCUUCGGAGAAUCGCAUGCCUUUCUACCUCCCUCGCUGCGACCUGUCCUACGCCUCCCAGGGCUCUUGGGUUAUGCCCUUGCCCUCUUCCGAGCCGUCCGUGGCACCCAUUGUCAUCAUCGGCUGUCAGCAGACUUGCAUGCAAUGUUCCUUUCUUUUCUCUUUUCUUCCUUACGCCACUGGGCCAUGCAAAGCGGUGAAGCCCUGACACUCGCUGCCACGUGGAUGUACCCUGAGAACAUGAUGCUGAGUGAGAGAAGUCAGACACACAAGGGCACACUGUGUGUGACACCACUGAGGAGAAACGUCAAGAACAGCCUGUGAUAGCAUCGCUCUCAGGAUGAAGGCUGACUGCAGGAAGACUGAACACGCACACGCAAAGGGGUGAUGCCCUGACACUUGCUGCCACGUGUAUGCACCCUGAGGACACGAUGCUCAGCGAGAGCCGUCAGAAACAAAAGGACACGCAGGGUCUGACUCCACUGAGGAGAAACGUACAGAGCAGGCCAUGCAAAGUGGUGAAGCCCUGACACUCGCUGCCACUUGGAUGCACCCUGAGACUUCUACGCUAUGGGAGAGAAGUCAGACACAGAAGGACACACAGGGUGUGACCCCACUGAGGAGAAACGUCCAGAACAGCAUGAAAAGGGUGAACCCCUGACACUCACUGCCACCUGAAUGCACCCUGAGGACACGAUGGUUGGUGAGACAAGUCAGACACAGAAGGACACACAGGGUGUGACACCACUGAGGAGAAACGUCCAGAAAAGUCCUUCUGCAUGCAAAGAGGUGAACCCCUGACACUCGACGCCACGUGGAUGCACGCUGACACGAUGGUCGGUGAGACAACUCAGACACAGAAGGACACCCUGCGUCUGACCCCACUGAAGAGAAACGUCCAGAACAGGUAGAUCCACAUAGUCUGAGAGUGGGUUCCUGGUUGUCAGAGUCUCGCAAGGUGACGGAGUGACAGGUAAUGGCAUGAGGGACAUUUUUGGGGUGAUGGAAGUGGUCCAAAGCAUGGCAGUAGGGACGGCUUAACAGCUCAGUAAACUGUCCCCUUGCUCCCCAUUGUAGCCUGUGAGAACACCUCUCUCAGUACAAAGGGCUGACUGAAGGAAGACUGAACGAGCAGUGGGUCCUGGGCGCAGACAAUCAGUUGGCGGCCCCCCACUUGGGGAAGUGACUGGGAGUUGCUGAUCCUCCACGGAGACUGGCAGCUGCCCCAGGCCCUCACAGGUCACGGUGCCACCAGUCCCAGAGCCUUCCCUCUGGUUCUCAUCACUGGCUGUUACCAUACUUGCAUGCAAUAUUCCUUCCUUUUCUUUUCUCUUUUCUCAUUCCCUCUGCAUGCAAAGGUGUGAAACGCUGACACGCGCUGCCACAUGGAUGAAUCCUGAGAACAUGAUGCUCAGCAAGAGAAGUCAGACACAGAAGGACACACAGGGUGUGACCCCACUGAGGAGAAACGUCCAGAACAGCACACAAAGGGUGAAUCCCUGACACUCACUGCCACCUGGAUGCACCCUGAGGACACGAUGCUCAGCGGGAGAAGUCAGGCACAGGACAUACAGGGUCUGACCCCACUGAGGUGAAACGUCAAGCACAGGUAGAUCCACGGAAUCAGAGAGGAAGUCCCUGGUUGACGGGCUGCCGAGUGGACAGAGUGAUAGCUUAGGGUGUGAGGGACAUUUUUGGGGUGACGGAAAUAGUGCAAAACAUGGCAGUAGUGGUAGAUUCACAGCUAACUAAACUCCCCCAUGAUCCUGUGCAGGCUGUGAGAGCAUCGCUCUCAGGGCAAAGGGCUGAUCGCAGGAAGACUGAACGAGCAGUGGGUCCUGGCCCCAGACAGUGAGCUGGUACCCCGAACGUGAAGAAGUCACUUGGAUUUCCUGAGCCUCCACAGACACUGUCAGCAGCCCCAGGGCCUCACAAGUCAUGGUGCCCUUGGCCCCAGAGCCUCCCCUCUGUUUCUCAUCACCAGCUGUCACCAUACCUACAUGUUAUGAUCCUUUCUUUUCUCUUGUCUUCUUUACUUCACUAGGCCACACAAACAGGUGAAGCCUGGCAGUCGCUGCCACGUGGAUGCACCCUGAGACCACUACACUGUGUGAGAGAAACCAGACAAAGAAGGACACACAGGAUAUGACCCCACUGAGGAGAUACUUCCAGAACAGUCCCUCAGCAUGCAAAGCGGUGAAGCCCUGACACUCGCUGCCAUGUGGAUGCACCAUGAGAACACGAUGCACAGUGAGAGAAGUCAGACACAGAGGGACACAAAGGGUGUGACACCGCUGAGGAGAAACGUCCAGAACAGGCCACACAAAGCGGUGAAGCCCUGACACUCGCUGCCAUGUGGAUGCACCCUGAGAACAUGAUGCUCAGCGAGAGAAGUCAGACACAGAAGGACACACAGGGUGUGACCGCACUGAGGAGAAACGUCCAGAACAGCUAGAUCCACAUAGUCAGAGAGUGGGUUCCUGGUUGUCAGGGGCUGGUGAGGGACGGAGUGAUUGGUAAGGGCGUGAGGGACAAUUUUGGGUUGAUGGAGGUGGUCCAAAGCACGGAAGUAGGGACGGCUGCACAGCUCUGUAAACUGUCCCCAUGCUCCCCAUUUUAGCCUGAAGGGUGCGGUGAUGGAAAUGGUCCAGAACAUGGCAGUAGUGACGGCUACACAGCUUACUAAACUGUCCCCCGUGCUCCUGUGCAGCCUGUGAGAGCAUUGCUCUCAGGACGAACGGCUGACCGCAGGAAGACUGAACAACAGUGUGUCCUGUGCCCAGACGCUCAGCUGGCACCCCCCACAAGCGGAAGUCACUGGGAGUUCCUGAGCCUCCACGGUGACUGGCAUCAGCCCCAGGGACUCACAGGGCACAGCACCCCUGGCCCCAGAGCCUUCCCUCUGGUUCUCAUCAAUGGCUGUCAACAGACUUGCAUGCAAUAUUCCUUUCUUUUCUUUUUUCUUUUCUCAGUCCCUCAGCAUGCAAAGGGGUGAAUACGUGACACUCGCUGCCAUGUGGAUGCACCCUGAGGACACGAUGCUCAGCAAAAGAAGUCAGACACCGAAGGACAUACAGGGUGUGACACCACUGAGGAGAAACGUCCAGAACAGGCAGAUUCACAGAGUCAGAGAUUAGGUUCCUGGUUAUCAGGGGCUGAGGAGGGGACGGAGUGAUAGCUAAGUGGAUGAGGGACAUUUUUCGGGUGAUGGAAGUGGUUCAAAGCAUGGCAGUAGGGACGGCUGAACAGCUCAGUAAACUGUCCACAUGCUCCCCGUUGUAGCCUGUGAGAACAUCACUCUCAGGACGAAGGGCUGACUGCAGGAAGACAGAACGAGCGGUGGGUCCUGGACCCAGACACUCAGUUGGCGGCCCCCGUACUUGGAGUACUGACUGGGAGUUGCUGAGCUUCCACGGAGACUUGCAGCAGCCCCAGGGCCUCAGAGGGCACGGCGCCCCAGAGCCUUGCAUCUGAUUCUCAUCACCAGCUGUCACCAGACUUUCAUGCAAUGUUCCAUUCUUUUCUUUUAUCUUUUUUCCAUCUCUCAGCAUGCAAAGGAUUGAAGCCGUGACACUCACUGUCACAUGGAUGCCCCCUGAGAUCUCUACACUACAGGAGAGAAGUCAGACAAAGAAGGACACACAGGGUGUGACCUCACUGAGGAGAAACAUUCAGAACAGUCCCUCUGCAUGCAAAGCGGUGAAGUCCUGACACUUGCUGCCUUGUGCAUGCACCCUGAGAGCACGAUGCUCAGUGAGAGAAGUCAGACACAGAAGGACACACAUGGUGUGACACCACUGAGGAGAAACGUCCAGAACAACCUGUGAGAGCAUCGCUCUCAGUACGAAGGGCUGACCGCAGGAAGACUGAAUGAGCAGUGGGUCCUGGGCCCAGAUGUCCCUCAGCACACAAAGUGGUGAACCCCUGACACUCGCUGCCAUGUGGAUGCACUCUGAAAACACGAUGCUCAGUGAGAGAAUUCAGACACAGAAGGACACACAGGGUGUGACACCACUGAGGAGAAAUGUCCAGAACAGCCUCUGCGAGCAUUGCUCUCAGGACGAAGGGCUGACCUUAGGAAGACUGAACGAGCAGUGGAUCCUGGGCCCAGACACUUAGCUGGCAGCCCCCAACUUGGUCCCUCAGCCACGCAAGGGGGUGAAUCCCUGACACUCGCUGUCACGUGGAUGCACCCUGAGAGCACGAUGUUCAGCGAGAGAAGUCAGGCACAGAAGGAUGCACAGGGUGUGACCCCACUGAGGAGAAACGUCCAGAGCAGGUAGAUCCACAGAGUCACAGAGUGGGUUCCUUGUUCUCAGGGGCUGACGAGGGGGCGGAGUGAUAGCUAUGUGUGUGAGUGACAUUUUGGGGGUGAUGGAAGUGGUCCAAAGCACGGCAGUAGUGAUGGAUGCACAACUCAGUAAACUAUCCCCUUGCUGCCCGGUGCAGCCUGUGAGAGCAUCGCACUUAGGACGAAGGGCUGACUGCAGGAAGACUGAAUGUGCAGUGGGUCCUGGGCCCAGAUGCUCAGCUGGCGUCCUCCAUGUGGUGAAGUCACUGGGACUUGCUGAGCCUCCACGGAGACGGGCAGCAGCCCCAGAGUCUCACAGGGCACUGCGCCCCCGGCACCAGAGCCUUCCCUCUGUUCUCAUAAUCAGCUGUCCGCAGAUUUGCGGUCACGUUCUUUUCUUUUCUUUUGUGUUUUUUAAAGGCAACUCUUGCGUACGUGUAUUUAAUAUGCAGGGAACCAGCCCUGACUCCUUGGUCU